rnacentral:hammerhead_ribozyme from 1 species
AUCCACCUGACGAGUCCCAAGUGGGACGAGACGCGUGUUUUGGAU